rnacentral:rRNA from 1 species
UAACGAGUUCCGGGUCGUCUCCGGCCCGAUCUCCCAUCCCAUGUGUACCUUUCUCGCGUUGCUUUGGCGGGCCCGCUGAGGCGGGGUCCAUCCCCUCUCACCGCCGGCCUCCUGCGCUGACGAGCGCCCGCCAGAGAUACUCGAAACUCUGAUUUGAUCAGUGUCGUCUGAGUAACAUACAAUCGUUAAAACUUUCAACAACGGAUCUCUUGGUUCUGGCAUCGAUGAAGAACGCAGCGAAAUGCGAUACGUAAUGUGAAUUGCAGAAUUCAGCGAAUCAUCGAAGCUUUGAACGCACCUUGCGCCCCUUGGUAUUCCGAGGGGCAUGCCUGUUCGAGCGUCAUUACACCACUCAAGCUCAGCUUGGUGUUGGGCCAUCGCCCGCCUCGCUUCGGCGAUGGGCGUGCCUGAAAAUCAGUGGCGGUGCCAUCCAGCUUCAAGCGCAGUAAGAAUCACUUCCUCGCUUUGGAAGCCUGGGCGGUCGCUAGCCAGACAACCUUAUUAUACUCUUCUAAGGUUGACCUCGGAUCAGGUAGGGAUACCCGCUGAACUUAAGCAUAUCAAUAAGCGGAGGAAAAGAAACCAACCGGGAUUGCCUCAGUAACGGCGAGUGAAGCGGCAACAGCUCAAAUUUGAAAUCUGGCCUCUUCGGGGUCCGAGUUGUAAUUUGGAGAGGAUGCUUCGGGCGUGGCACCGGUCUAAGUUCCUUGGAACAGGACGUCACAGAGGGUGAGAAUCCCGUAUGUGAUCGGCCGCCUUC